rnacentral:rRNA from 1 species
GACGAAGGGGGCUAGCGUUGUUCGGAAUUACUGGGCGUAAAGCGCGUGUAGGCGGUUGCCCAAGUCGGGUGUGAAAGCCUUGAGCUCAACUCAAGAAAUGCACUCGGUACUGGGUGACUAGAGGACCGGAGAGGAUAGUGGAAUUCCCAGUGUAGAGGUGAAAUUCGUAGAUAUCAGGAGGAACACCAGCGGCGAAGGCGGCUUUCUGGACGAUAACUGACGCUGAGACGCGAAAGCGUGGGGAGCAAACAGG